GCCGCCAUAGCUCAGUCGGUUAGAGCGUGGGUCUAAUAAGCCCAAGGUCGCAGGUUCUACCCCUGCUGGCGGCA
rnacentral:tRNA from 1 species